rnacentral:rRNA from 1 species
ACGGAAGGCAGCAGUGAGGAAUAUUGGUCAAUGGACGGAAGUCUGAACCAGCCAUGCCGCGUGAAGGAUGACGGCCUUAUGGGUUGUAAACUUCUUUUAUGAGGGAGCAAUAAGGUGUACGUGUACACUGAUGAGAGUACCUCAAGAAUAAGCAUCGGCUAACUCCGUGCCAGCAGCCGCGGUAAUACGGAGGAUGCAAGCGUUAUCCGGAUUUAUUGGGUUUAAAGGGUGCGUAGGCGGACUGGUAAGUCAGCGGUGAAAGUUUAUCGCUUAACGAUAAAAUUGCCAUUGAUACUGUCAGACUUGAGUGUAUUUGAGGUAGGCGGAAUGUGUGGUGUAGCGGUGAAAUGCAUAGAUAUCACACAGAACACCGAUUGCGAAGGCAGCUUACUAAGAUACUACUGACGCUGAGGCACGAAAGUGUGGGGAUCGAACAGGAUUAGAUACCCUGGUA